UGGGGAAUAUUGCACAAUGGGCGCAAGCCUGAUGCAGCCAUGCCGCGUGUAUGAAGAAGGCCUUCGGGUUGUAAAGUACUUUCAGCGGGGAGGAAGGGAGUAAAGUUAAUACCUUUGCUCAUUGACGUUACCCGCAGAAGAAGCACCGGCUAACUCCGUGCCAGCAGCCGCGGUAAUACGGAGGGUGCAAGCGUUAAUCGGAAUUACUGGGCGUAAAGCGCACGCAGGCGGUUUGUUAAGUCAGAUGUGAAAUCCCCGGGCUGAACCUGGGAACUGCAUCUGAUACUGGCAAGCUUGAGUCUCGUAGAGGGGGGUAGAAUUCCAGGUGUAGCGGUGAAAUGCGUAGAGAUCUGGAGGAAUACCGGUGGCGAAGGCGGCCCCCUGGACGAAGACUGACGCUCAGGUGCGAAAGCGUGGGGAGCAAACAGG
rnacentral:rRNA from 1 species